GGUAGGAACUUCAGGACCGGUCAAGGUUCAGCAGCAUGUAUAAUGGAAAAUACGCUUGUCUGAAGCUCUUUUUUUUCCAGGUGCAUUGCAUCUUCCUGGAAUUCCUGGCUUUAUUGAAGAUGGAACCUUGUUUUCUUCACCAGCGUUGCUGUAUGCUGUUUUCCCCACAGCUGACGG